rnacentral:rRNA from 1 species
UACGAAGGGGGCUAGCGUUGUUCGGAUUUACUGGGCGUAAAGCGCACGUAGGCGGAUCGUUAAGUGAGGGGUGAAAUCCCAGGGCUCAACCCUGGAACUGCCUUUCAUACUGGCGAUCUAGAGUCCGGAAGAGGUGAGUGGAACUCCUAGUGUAGAGGUGGAAUUCGUAGAUAUUAGGAAGAACACCAGUGGCGAAGGCGGCUCACUGGUCCGGUACUGACGCUGAGGUGCGAAAGCGUGGGGAGCAAACAGG